AUACGGAGGGUGCAAGCGUUACUCGGAAUCACUGGGCGUAAAGCGCGCGCAGGCGGUCUUUUAAGUUGGAUGUGAAAGCCUACAGCUCAACUGUAGAACUGCAUCCAAAACUAUUAGACUAGAGUCUGGGAGGGGAAGAUGGAAUUAGUUGUGUAGGGGUAAAAUCCGUAGAGAUAACUAGGAAUACCAAAAGCGAAGGCGAUCUUCUGGAACAGUACUGACGCUGAGGCGCGAAAGCGUGGGGGGCAAACAGGAUUAGAAACCCGAGUAGUCC
rnacentral:rRNA from 1 species